rnacentral:rRNA from 1 species
GACGGAGGGGGCAAGCGUUGUUCGGAAUUAUUGGGCGUAAAGGGCUCGUAGGCGGACCGGUAAGUCUGAUGUGAAAUCUCCACUGCUCAACAGGGAGAGGUCAUUGGAUACUGCCAGUCUGGAGUGCGGCAGAGGACCAUGGAAUUCCAGGUGUAGCGGUGGAAUGCGUAGAUAUCUGGAGGAACACCGGUGGCGAAGGCGGCUCUCUGGACGGUGGACUGA